GUAAUUUUGCUGAACUUUUCUGCCUCGGUUAAUGAAGAACCGAAGCAUACACAGAUCUACUGACUCGGUUCACUAAAGACCCGAGGCAUAUCCACCCUAUGUCCUCAGUUAAAUUUCUAAUCGAUGCCUAAUGGGCUUCUUUUUUCUUCACGGACCAACCCAUAUGGGUCGCGCCACCAAGGGAGACAGAACAUUCUUCUCCUUCUCGCACAUUCAACCUAGAAAAGUUCAAGAAAACACUUUUCUCUCUUUAUCCCACUCCUUCUCGCUUCUGUCAUUUCUUUCCAUCCCUCAUCCCGCACAAGUAAGAAGCUUAAAGCUUCUGCCAUUUCUCUUCAACACAGAUGACCCAACGUUGGAGCACAGAUGAUCUGCGUCUUGAGCGGAGGAAACGACCUCACAGCGACGGUGUGGAGAUGGCGCUACAGGCGGCGUUCGUGGUGCCUCGCAGCAACGCUCGUGGUGGCUCGUGGCGGCGCGAUUGGCUGUUCUUCUUCUUCCCUCUCUCUUUCUGGUUCUAUUCUGGUUGUAGGAAGGAGGAUGUGAAAUCGAAGGAGUAGGCGUCUCAGUGGCAGAGGCGACGAGAGCACGAUGAAAGUGCGCCGGAGGUGGGACACGACGAUUGAGAAAGUUAGGGUUUUGAGGGAUCCAGUGAGGGCGGUUGACGGUUGUGCCAGUGGAGUGGCCAUGGGGGUUUCGGGCUAGCAGCGGAGUCCUUCGUAGGCUGCCGGCGGUGGUGGCCUGUGAUGGUCCGAUAAAGGUGGCACGGUUGUUGGGUGGUGGUCCGAUGUGAGAAUAGGUGUUGAAGAUUUGUGGUGGGUGGUGGUCCGAUGUGUUCAAGCUUCUCCAGAGUGCAGAAAUGAUUUUUGAAAGAGCUUGAAGGGGGAAAGGAGAAUUGGUAUUCUGCAGAUUGCAGAUUUUUCUAGAGGAGACUAUGUUGGUAUUAUGUAGAUUUUUCUAGACUCUUUGGAUGAUAAAGAAAAUGGGAAAGAUCAAAUUUUGAACUUGUGUGAAUGUGAAUAAUGUUCUGGUUCAGAGGACGACAUUCACAGAGGAUGACAUUCACAGAGAUACCUAAAUUAAAAAGGAUACCCAAUCUGAAGGUUCCCAUAAGGAAUCGGAUUUUGGAAAUACUGCCUCGGUUCUUUGAACCGAGUUUGAAACCCAAAUAUUGCUUCUGUUAAAAAAACCGAGGCGAAUCGUAGGGACUUUUAACCUCGUCUGCAUAAGCCUCGGUUCCCAAACCGAGGUGUAUGGCUAAAAAUAACCGGUGCCAAUU